rnacentral:rRNA from 1 species
UACGGGGGGGGUAAGCGUUGUUCGGAAUUACUGGGCGUAAAGGGCUCGUAGGCGGCCAACUAAGUCAGACGUGAAAUCCCUCAGCUUAACUGGGGAACUGCGUCUGAUACUGGAUGGCUUGGAUCCGGAAGAGGGAUGCGGAAUUCCAGGUGUAGCGGUGAAAUGCGUAGAUAUCUGGGGGAACACCGGUGGCGAAGGCGGCAUCCUGGGCCGGUAUUGACGCUGAGGAGCGAAAGCCAGGGGAGCAAACGGG